GAUGAACGCUGGCGGCGUGCCUAAUACAUGCAAGUCGAGCGAACAGAUGAGGAGCUUGCUCCUCUGACGUUAGCGGCGGACGGGUGAGUAACACGUGGAUAACCUACCUAUAAGACUGGGAUAAUUCCGGAAAACCGGAGCUAAUACCGGAUAAUAUUUUGAACGGCUUGGUUCAUUAGUUAAAGAGGGUUUUCUGGUCACUAUUAGUUGAUUCCGCGCCGCAUUAGCUAGUUGGUAAGGUAACGGCUUACCAAGGCAACGAUGCGUAGCCGACCUGAGAGGGUGAUCGGCCACACUGGAACUGAGACACGGUCCAGACUCCUACGGGAGGCAGCAGUAGGGAAUCUUCCGCAAUGGGCGAAAGCCUGACGGAGCAACGCCGCGUGAGUGAUGAAGGUCUUCGGAUCGUAAAACUCUGUUAUUAGGGAAGAACAAAUGUGUAAGUAACUAUGCACGUCUUGACGGUACCUAAUCAGAAAGCCACGGCUAACUACGUG
rnacentral:rRNA from 1 species